UUACCUUAGGGUUUCCUCUGGGGUAAGUGAUUGCUUCUACACUGUGAAAAUUUGGCUGAGAGACUCAGACUGGUCAUGGGUAGACCUAUCUGGGGUUUGAUCGAUGCCACUCCUGGUUUCAGGAGCACCCUUCAUAAUAAACCUAGAAAUUCAGUAUUAUAAAGUUUAAUAAAAAACAACUUUUAACAAUGGAUCUCUUGGUUCUCGCAUCGAUGAAGAACGUAGCAAAGUGCGAUAACUAGUGUGAAUUGCAUAUUCAGUGAAUCAUCGAGUCUUUGAACGCAGCUUGCACUCUAUGGUUUUUCUAUAGAGUACGCCUGCUUCAGUAUCAUCACAAACCCACACAUAACAUUUGUUUAUGUGGUAAUGGGUCGCAUCGCUGUUUUAUUACAGUGAGCACCUAAAAUGUGUGUGAUUUUCUGUCUGGCUUGCUAGGCAGGAAUAUUACGCUGGUCUCAGGAUCUUUUUCUUUGGUUCGCCCAGGAAGUAAAGUACAAGAGUAUAAUCCAGCAACUUUCAAACUAUGAU
rnacentral:rRNA from 1 species